AUUGAACGCUGGCGGCAGGCCUAACACAUGCAAGUCGAGCGGAUGAAGGGAGCUUGCUCCUGGAUUCAGCGGCGGACGGGUGAGUAAUGCCUAGGAAUCUGCCUGGUAGUGGGGGAUAACGUCCGGAAACGGGCGCUAAUACCGCAUACGUCCUGAGGGAGAAAGUGGGGGAUCUUCGGACCUCACGCUAUCAGAUGAGCCUAGGUCGGAUUAGCUAGUUGGUGGGGUAAAGGCCUACCAAGGCGACGAUCCGUAACUGGUCUGAGAGGAUGAUCAGUCACACCUGAAACUGGACAAGGUGCCGAGCCCCUCGGGGGGGGAGGAGGGGGAAAUUUUGGCAAAAGGGGAAAACCCUAGCCCAACAAGGCCGGGGGGGUAAAAAAGGUUUUCGGUUUUUAAACCUCUUUAAUUGGGGAGGAAGGGAGGAAAGUUAAAUCCUGCCUUUUUGAAGGUAACCAACAAAAAAAACCCGGGCUAACUGGUG
rnacentral:rRNA from 1 species